rnacentral:rRNA from 1 species
UACGAAGGGGGCUAGCGUUGCUCGGAAUCACUGGGCGUAAAGCGCACGUAGGCGGAUUCCUAAGUCGGGGGCGAAAUCCUGGAGCUCAACUCCAGAACUGCCUUCGAUACUGGGAAUCUUGAGUCCGGAAGAGGUGAGUGGAACUGCGAGUGUAGAGGUGAAAUUCGUAGAUAUUCGCAAGAACACCAGUGGCGAAGGCGGCUCACUGGUCCGGUACUGACGCUGAGGUGCGAAAGCGUGGGGAGCAAACAGG